AAAGAAAAAAAACCUGAAAAAGCUUUGUAUUUCCCGAAAGGGUCGAUGUAUAUUUAUUCCAAAUGAUACAGUUAGAGAAGUUUCAAAAAGCUCUGUGUAAGGAGUGUAGUCCUUUGCCUGUGGCUCUUCUGUCAUCAAAACCACAGGUGUCCUUGAGUGGCCUGCCUGGCCAAAACCGCAGAGUGGGUUGGGGGGAUUUGUAUACAACUAUUGAUAACUUCAUUCUGGGGAGAUUGUGGGGAAUUUUUUUCAGAAGCCUUCAACAUUUCACAACAACACUCCACAAAGUUUAUCCUCAACUUUUCCCGGACGAGAUUUGAGAUGACUCCUAACCACCUUAGUAAUUAGCUUUUAACCAUUAGGAAUUUAGACGCGCAUUUCAUAUCUUAAACUGGUUGUCAAAGUUUAUUGGAAGUGUAAAAAAGGUUGGGAUAGUUUGCACAGUUUGACCUCAUCGGAUUCAAAACCAGAGAGAGACUGACAUGUUGUAGUCAAAGCAGAAGUUUAAAUAUUACCGGCACAUUAAAUCCAGUUGUGUUACAGCAAAAUGCUGUAUUCCACAUUCAUCUUUCCCAACCGGGGUUCACUGUUGUUGUGUUUUGUGGGUUCGUUUUCUUAUUUCAAGUCAUCGUAAAUCCCUGACGAUGAAGAGUCAUCAUUACAUUUCUCACUGAUGCCUGACUCAUGUCACAUGAUUGAGUAUCCUGACUCGUCUACCUUUCUGCCUGCUGAACUUGUGAAUAUCCUGACUCUGACACCAUGUGGCACCUGUUGGAAUCACAACACAUCACUGAAAUGCAGUCUGCAAGUUGACGGUAACAGCUAAGAUUUGUGGAAAACUUUUGGAAGGGGCAUUGAAGUCUGGGAAUUCGUCCACAGAUCAGUCCAUUGACUAGAUGUUCCAAACCAUCCAUCAUUCAGUGGUCUGCCAUCUUGAAGGAUCAAUUUUCUUGAUGAAGAUGUGUGGGCAAAAACAUCAGCAAGGCCUAAGUGGUUCCUUUCUACUGUGGCAUUUGUUGGGGCUUCCCUUUAACAAACCUAGGCAGCACAAACAGGAGGCGACAAUCGUGCCUGCGGAAACACAUUUUUGUUAAAGGGUGCUGAGGUUGUAAAAUCAUAAAUAUCUGGGGGUUUUCGGUGAUUGUCUGAUGUGGAUGAGUUUGAAUAUGUUUGUGGCUUAACAUGGUCACAGUUGAGGGUGCUAUUUUGUACACCAGCAUCCUUGUCCAAAAAAGUUAGGGGUGCUUUGGCACCCACACCAGCCCCCGUCCCCAGGGGCUUAGCUACAAUGCUCAAAGAUUAGAUUAAAUUAGUUUUAGGCUUUUUGGAAAAGGGAAUACUAGAUGUUUUUAGUUGAACAUGCACAACCUUUUUUCACACAAAAACCCAUAUUUUUAGACUGCUUUUCAAGGGUGGAGUUUUGUCUCUAGAGAAGAAAUCAAUCAUAUUUGAAGCUAUCCUUUCUGUCUUAUCUGAGUAAAUUAAAAUUACAGAGCAUUAGACUCAUUGUUCACUCAAAUGUAGAAAUU